rnacentral:ncRNA from 1 species
AAUGGUUAGUAAAAAAGGAAGCGAAAGUGAAAGCUGGAGCAAAUCCUCAAAACUAAUCAUAGUUGGAUUGGUUUCUGAACUAGAAUCCAUGAAA